rnacentral:rRNA from 1 species
AACGAACGCUGGCGGCAGGCCUAACACAUGCAAGUCGAGCGAGGACUUCGUUCCUAGCUGCGGACGCGUGAGGAACGCGGGGGACCGUGCCCUUUUCCUCGGAAUUCUCCUGGUAAACGGGGGGUAAUACCGGAUGAGUUCCUUGAGGACAAGAUUUAUCGGCGAAGGAUCGGCCCGCGAUGGAUUAGGUAGGUGGUGGGGUAAUGGCCUACGAAGCAGACGAUCGAUAGCUGGGUUGAGAGGAAGAUCACCCACACUGCGACUGAGACACGGCCCGGAAUCCUAGAGGAGGCAGCAGUGGGGAAUCCUAGAAAAUGGGGGAAGCCCUGAUCGAGCCAUGCCGCGUGAGCGAUGAAGGCCUUAGGGUUGUAAAGCUCUUUCAGCUGGGAAGAUAAUGACGGUACCAGCAGAAGAAGCCCCGGCUAACUCCGUG